rnacentral:rRNA from 1 species
UACGAAGGGGGCUAGCGUUGCUCGGAAUUACUGGGCGUAAAGGGAGCGUAGGCGGCUAGUUAAGUUGGGGGUGAAAGCCCGGGGCUCAACCUCGGAAUUGCCUUCAAUACUGGCUAUCUAGAGUAUGGGAGAGGUGUGUGGAACUCCGAGUGUAGAGGUGAAAUUCGUAGAUAUUCGGAAAAACACCAGUGGCGAAGGCGACACACUGGCCCAUUACUGACGCUGAGUCUCGAAAGCGUGGGGAGCAAACAGG